GAUGAACGCUAGCGGCAGGCCUAGUACAUGCAAGUCGAACGGUAAGUUAGGUAGCAAUAUCUGACCAAGAGUGGCGUAAGGGUGCGUAACACGUAUGCAAUCUGCCCUGUACAGGUGAAUAGCUCGGGGAAACUCGAAUUAACACACCGUAAUAUCGCGAAGAGGCAUCUUUUUGCGAUUAAAACUGAGGUGGUACAGGA
rnacentral:rRNA from 1 species